rnacentral:rRNA from 1 species
UACGUAGGUGGCAAGCGUUGUCCGGAUUUAUUGGGUUUAAAGGGUGCGUAGGCGGCUUUAUAAGUCAGUGCUGAAAUAUCCCGGCUUAACCGGGAGGGUGGCAUUGAUACUGUAGGGCUUGAGUAAAGUUGAGGUUGGCGGAAUUGACGGUGUAGCGGUGAAAUGCUUAGAUAUCGUCAAGAACACCGAUUGCGAAGGCAGCUAACUAAGCUUUAACUGACGCUGAGGCACGAAAGUGUGGGGAUCAAACAGG